rnacentral:rRNA from 1 species
AACGAACGCUGGCGGCAUGCCUAACACAUGCCAGUCGAACGAGACCUUCGGGUCUAGUGGCGUACGGGUGCGUAACGCGUGGGAACCUGCCCUUAGGUUCGGAAUAACUCCCCGAAAGGGGUGCUAAUACCGGAUAAUGUCUUCGGACCAAAGAUUUAUCGCCUUUGGAUGGGCCCGCGUUGGAUUAGCUAGUUGGUAGGGUAAAAGCCUACCAAGGCGACGAUCCAUAGCUGGUCUGAGAGGAUGAUCAGCCACACUGGGACUGAGACACGGCCCAGACUCCUACGGGAGGCAGCAGUGGGGAAUAUUGGACCAUGGGCGAAAGCCUGAUCCAGCAAUGCCGCGUGAGUGAUGAAGGCCUUAGGGUUGUAAAGCUCUUUUACCCGGGAUGAUAAUGACAGUACCGGGAGAAUAAGCUCCGGCUAACUCCGUG